rfam:Phytophthora infestans T30-4 supercont1.101 genomic scaffold, whole genome shotgun sequence.
UCCCAUAUCGUGUAGGCGGUUCAAAUAGCUGGCUCUCACCCAGCAGACCCGGGUUCGAGUCCAGGUGUGGAAA